rnacentral:rRNA from 1 species
UACGUAGGGUGCGAGCGUUAAUCGGAAUUACUGGGCGUAAAGCGUGCGCAGGCGGUUGGUUAAGUCUGAUGUGAAAGCCCCGGGCUCAACCUGGGAAUGGCAUUGGAAACUGUCCAGCUGGAGUGUGGCAGAGGGGGGUGGAAUUCCGCGUGUAGCAGUGAAAUGCGUAGAGAUGCGGAGGAACACCGAUGGCGAAGGCAGCCCCCUGGGCAGGAAGGCUCGCAAGAGCCGGCUGACGCUGAGGCGCGACAGCGUGGGGAGCAAACAGG